GAGCUGAAUGAAGCAGAGCAGCUUUCUCCUACUGAAACGCUUCACUUCAAAGCUCAGAACUACUUUUCCACUCAUGCUGAUAAAGAAAAUUGUAGUUGGUGACUUUGGAGACUACCUUUAAUUAGAGAUGAACUAAAGUCUUUGGAAGACAGGCAAAGUAUGAAAAUAUAUAGACUUCUCCUCCCUCCUUUCUCCUGAUUUCUCUCCUGAAUGGGUUUCUACCAAAAACAGCCAGAAAGAAGGACACGUCUCCUAUUCAAAAGCUACCGCUAUGGAAGGGCAAAUAAAUAUUUCUGUAAUUAUAACAAGUGUCUCCAAGUAACCUACGUGGAGCACCAGCUGCAAGUGAAAAUGAAAAAUGGGAAGUGAUUCAGCUCGGGAUAGAAGACCGAACAAGAAUCCCCUCGCUGUGACAGACUGACACCUCAGCUGUAGAGCAGUCUGGAAGACAAGUCUGGACCAAUUUCUCCAUCCUGCCUCUGGCAGCAGAAUGCAGCAUUUCAGAUCCUCCACCGAGUCCCGGCUGCUUCAAAGGAAAAGCCCUACUUUCUUCCGUUAAGAUCAUAAGAAAUAUAGGGGGAGGGGGUCAGCUCUGUUUGGACAUAAUUACACUUCAUCAAAAGAAGCUUUCUUCAUCUUCCAUGCGUGAAAAGUCUGCAAGCAGUAAUACCACCCGAAACUGGAAACUGAGUUUUGCCACAAACAACUGUGAGGUCUCCAUCUAUCAAGCAAAGAUUUUACUUUAAAGUGAUGUGAACGUCCCUGAACAUAACAACACAGGAACCACCGCUGCGGAUAAGAUCUGAGGUCCCACUAGCUCACUGCCUUGGGUCUGACAGCAACCAGGUCUGCCAGCUUCAAAGCAAGGUGUAAGGAAUAAUAAAUAAUAAUCAAAUAACAAAUAAUAAGCUGCUGAACAGAUUACAGAGCUGACUCUAACUCUUAAUAAAUGGAUAUUGGCUUACA